GUCUCAAAGAUUAAGCCAUGCAUGUCUAAGUAUAAACAUUUAUAUAGUGAAACUGCGAAUGGCUCAUUAAAUCAGUUAUUGUUUAUUUGAUGGUAUUUUACUACUUGGAUAACUGUGGUAAUUCUAGAGCUAAUACAUGCUAAAAACCUUGACUAAAGAAAAGGUGUGCUUAUUAGAUACAAACCAAUACUCUUUUGAGUUCUGGUGAGUCAUGAUAAUUUAACGUAGCGCAUAGCCUUGUGCUGGUGCAAGAUCAUUCAAAUAUCUGCCCUAUCAAGUUUCGAUGUGAGGGUAGUGUCCUCACAUGCUUUUGACGGGUAACGGGGAAUUAGGGUUCGACUCCGGAGAGGGAGCCUGAGAAAUGGCUACCACAUCCAAGGAAGGCAGCAGGCGCGCAAAUUACCCAAUCCCGAUACGGGGAGGUAGUGACAAGAAAUACCGGUACAGGGUCCUUUUGGAUCUUGUGAUUGGAAUGAGUACAACUUAAACCCAUUAACGAGGAACAAGACGAGGGCAAGUCUGGUGCCAGCAGCCGCGGUAAUUCCAGCUCGUCGUGUGUAUAUUAAAGUUGUUGCAGUUAAAACGCUCGUAGUUGAAAUUUGGACCUAGCUAGCCGGUCUGCCUCACCGUAUGUACUGGUAUGGUUGGGUCUUUCCUCCUAGAGAGCUGUAUGCCUUUUACUGGGUGUAUUAGUAAACUAGGGCUUUUACUUUGAAAAAAUUAGAGUGUUUAAAGCGGGUAUUUGCUUGAAUAUAUUAGCAUGGGAUAAUAAAAUAGGACGUGUAGUACUGUUUUAUUGGUUUGGAGUACUACCGUAAUGAUUAAUAGGGAUAGUUGGGGGCAUCGGUAUUCAAUUGUCAGAGGUGAAAUUCUUGGAUUUAUUGAAGACCAACUGCUGCGAAAGCAUUUGCCAAAGAUGUUUUCAUUAAUCAGGGAACGAAAGUUAGGUGAGCGAAAACGAUCAGAUACCGUUGUAGUCUUAACUGUAAACUAUGCCAACUAGGGAUCAGGCGGUGUUAAUUUGAUGACCCGCUUGGCACCUUUCGAGAAAUCAAAGUGUUUGGGUUCU
rnacentral:rRNA from 1 species